rnacentral:rRNA from 1 species
AGAGUUUGAUCAUGGCUCAGCCUGAACGCUGGCGGCGUGGCUAAGACAUGCAAGUCGUACGGGUCCCGAGCAAUCGGGACCAGUGGCGGACGGGUGAGUAAUGUAUCGCUAACGUACCCCGAAAUCUGGGAUAGCCAUCCGAAAGGAUGGGUAAUACCAGGUAACAUCACCGGAAGGCAUCUUCCGGUGCUCAUAGGGUCACCGUUUCGGGAGCGGGCGAUAUCGUAUCAGCUAGUUGGCGGGGUAACGGCCCACCAAGGCGACGACGCGUAGCCGGACUGAGAGGUUGGCCGGCCACAUUGGGACUGAGACACUGCCCAGACUCCUACGGGGGGCUGCAGUAACGAAUCUUCCGCAAUGCACGCAAGUGUGACGGAGCGACGCCGCGUGUGGGACGAAGCCCUUCGGGGUGUAAACCACUGUCAGAGGAUAGAAAGUUCUGAUCGUCCUCAGAGGAAGGCACGGCUAACUCUGUGCCAGCAGCCGCGGUAAGACAGAGGUGCCGAGCGUUAGGCGGAAUCACUGGGCUUAAAGCGUGUGUAGGCGGAUCGUUAAGUGUCUUGUGAAAUCCCAUGGCUUAACCAUGGAACUGCUGGACAUACUGGCGAUCUUGGGUCACCCAGGGGCAGCCGGAACAAUGGUGUAGCGGUAAAAUGCGUUGAUAUCAUUUGGAACGCCAAUGGCGAAAGCAAGCUGCUGGGGGUGCACCGACGCUGAGACACGAAAGCCAGGGGAGCAAACGGGAUUAGAUACCCCGGUAGUCCUGGGCCGUAAACGAUGUCGACUAGAUCGCGGAGGCUCUGACGUCUUCGCGGUCGAAGCAAAAGUGCUAAGUCGACCGCCUGGAAGUACGGUCGCA